CAAUCCCUAUUCUCGUGCCCCAAAACAAACCCUCUCUUCCCCUCUUCCCCGUGUGCCUCCCUUCUCUUCUCCGUGUGCCUCUCUUCCUUGUGCCCCAAAACACCACCUUUUACCCUCACGACGCAUGCCACCCCCCUCCUCUCAUGAACCACCAUUCACCACCACCACUGUUCACCACCACAGCACCACCAUUCUCCCAAUGCCACCGCCUUUCAUCGUUGCGAUGCAUGCCAUGGCCAUUCGCCUCCUCUCACAGACCGCCGUUCGCUACCACCACCAUUCGCAGCCUCUCAGGACCGCCAUUCACCUCCUCUCACGACCUCCAUUCAUCUCCAUUCAUCACGAGGUCUUGUAUUCUGCCGGCCAUCACCAUUUUUUUGAGGUCUUGUCUUCUCCCAUCGGCACUUCUAUCUUCCUUUAGUUAAGAUAGAGCCUUCAUCUUCUUCCUCCAUCACUGUCGCCAUCGUCGGUCUUACCAUCUUCGCUCAUUUUCAUCGCCGUUGUCGGUCUUCCCAUCUUCGCUCAUCAUCGUCAUCACCACCGCUGUCGUCCCUGAUCAUUUCCCUCAGGUGAAGAACUAUCUAAAAAGCAAGCUGCCCAAGAAGCAGCUAUCAGGAAACUCCAGGCGCAGCGCAUACCAGCAGAUAUUUUUCUUGAGAUGUUUAAUGGAUAUCUAAAUCCAGGUAAGCCAAUUGCAAACAUGACAUUUAGGAUUUAUGGUGUGCUUAGCAUACAUACAGGUGUGGGAGCAAGGUCUUCUUUCAAGCAAGGUCAUUACAUGAAGAUUCCUCCAAAACAAAUGUUCCUCAUUCAGGUAAAUUGUGCUAAACCAUGGCUCUUCAUAAUAAUCCCACUCAAAGGAAGGAACACCACAAAUUGAGAAAAAGUGAUGAAGAAAUGCAUUCUCCUAAGAUGUUGUACCAAUUUGUUAUGAUCAAUACCUGUGCAUGUCUAAUGAUUACCUAUACCAAAUUGUAGUACAUUUGAGUGUUUUGGCAUGGAUGAUAUGUUCUCACGAAUAGUCUCUAUUUAUAUGAAGCAGAUUAUUGGCAUAGCGUUGUCAAUAGUGGCUAACUUCGUUACAGGAUGGUGGAUGUUUAGUUUGGAUUAUGGUGGCUGGUUUGGUUUGGAUUACGAUGGUUGAUUUAGUUUGAUAAUGUCUUUUAUGGUGGCUGAUUUUAAAACUUAAAUUAUAAUUAGUUUGAUAAAUUGUUGAUUAAUGGAUAUAGAUAGUUUGCUGCUUCUUGAUUGAUUAUAGUAUCAUUUAGAUAUUUUUAUAUAUAUUUUCUUAUCAGUGCCUCCAUC